GUUUGAGAGCUUAAGAGUUUGACCAUGAAGGGGCUACGCCCUCCCUGCUCUGGGCUGCAUAUGUGAGGACCAGAGAGCCCGAGUGGGGGCUGGAAGGAGGCUGCAUUAUUCCUGGCAGCCGGUCCCAGCUGGGUGUGAUCUCAGAGGAUGCAGACAGACCUUCAAAAUUGAUGACAACAUGUCUCCAAGGAGGAUGAGUGGCCAAAGAAAAAACAACACGCCCAGAAGCCCGGGCAGGAACAGAAAAUAACACAGACAAGUAUCUCGUUUCCAGAGAGGAGGGCUUCUCUCACCCAGUGUUUCUUUCCAUGCAGCAGAAUUUUCUAAACAAGCAAAUAUCUGCUCUCUGGGUCCUCUUCAGGCCUGAAUAAGUCAAGGAGAAGGAAGAGAGAAGUUUAGGGAGAAAGAAGGUGAGGAGGAGGCAGAAAGAAACAGGAGAAAACUCUGGAGAGGAAGAAAGGAAAGGAGGUCACACCCCUGGAAUUUAAGAUGUUUCCAGAAUUGGCAGUUUUGCCCCAUGGCUGAAUGUGAAUUCAGUGGGACACCGCAGAUGUGGGUCGUCGUUCUCGGGGCUGAGGAGGAUGGAGGGGGAAGAAACACUCCCAACGAAGGCCAAGGAAGGUCACCCCGUGUCUUGGCGCACCAGCAGUGUGGUUAUGGGAGUGAGUGGACCAGUGGAGUCUGCUGCUAACUGGGCUGCUGUGUUAGAGAAGGCGAGCUCCUGGUUCUGCUGCCGCCUGCCUUCACUCUGGAGCCUGACCCGCCUGGAUCAGCAUGGCCCUGGCCUGGAACCACAUGCGUGUGCUUGUGUGUCAGUGGUGUUUAUGCCAAGGUGGCUUUUUUUUUGUGUAUGUGUGUGUGUGUGUGUUUUAAGUGGGCAUGAGGCUCCACACCCAGCAAGGAGCCCAACAUGGGACUUGAACUCAGGACUCAGUUCAAGAACUGAGCUGAGAUCAAGAAUCAGAUGCCCAACUGACUGAGCCAGCCAGGGACCCCUGUGCCAAAGUGGUUUGAGUAUCUCCAUGUCAAUAGGAGGAUGAGGUUGUGUAAAGUAGGAAAAGCCUUAUUGUUUAUUCCAGGCUCACUUUGUGCUGAAAUGUUUGCAGAUUCGAAUUUGUUUCCGUGAGAUCGCUGUGAGUCCGCCUGUAGCUUUUAUCAGUAAUGCUAGUGCUGUGACUAAUGAAACAGCCAGAUGUGAGUCUGUGUUCCAGUAAACAAACGCAACUUCCAGAUCUAUGCAAUCAACUUUUUAUUGAUUCGUAAGUUUUACAUUUCUUAGGGUGAUUUUUUUUCCCCAGUUGCCAAGUCAUCCUCCAAUAAUAAAUGCCUUUCCAAGAAAUAGUGUCCUUUACCU
rnacentral:lncRNA from 12 species